GACGAACGCUGGCGGCGUGCUUAACACAUGCAAGUCGAACGAUGACGGUGGUGCUUGCACCGCCUGAUUAGUGGCGAACGGGUGAGUAACACGUGAGUAACCUGCCCUCCACUUCGGGAUAACCUCGGGAAAUCGUGGCUAAUACCGGAUACGAGCACUCAUCGCAUGGUGAGUGCUGGAAAGAUUUAUCGGUGGGGGAUGGACUCGCGGCCUAUCAGUUUGUUGGUGAGGUGAUGGCUCACCAAGACGAUGACGGGUAGCCGGCCUGAGAGGGCGACCGGCCACACUGGGACUGAGACACGGCCCAGACUCCUACGGGAGGCAGCAGUGGGGAAUAUUGCACAAUGGGCGAAAGCCUGAUGCAGCGACGCCGCGUGGGGGAUGACGGCCUUCGGGUUGUAAACCCCUUUCAGUAGGGAAGAAGCGAGAGUGACGGUACCUGCAGAAGAAGCGCCGGCUAACUACGUGCCAGCAGCCGCCGUAA
rnacentral:rRNA from 1 species